rnacentral:lncRNA from 11 species
AAUGCUUUUCUUUUCAAAAAAAUGCAAAAGAUGAAAACAUGUAAGUCUAAUCCCUCGGUCCCUCCCUCUCGCGUUGGCGAAGCCGUGGGAAGGACGCAGCGGGCGGAGGAGCAGCGCCUCCUCGGCCGGGGAAGAGAUUCAUUCAAUGCGCGCAGGGAGGCUGGCGCGCCGGCGGGCGGGAGGGCUGCGCCCCCGACUCUCUCCUGAGGCUGUGCUCCCGUGGAGGAGCCGGCGCCUCCUUUCUCGCCCUGAGGAGCUCCGCAGGUUCAAGAUGUUUGCAGGGGCACUGCAAAAAUCAAUCGGCAUUCUGCAUAUGCCAUGGACUAUAUCUUCUGCUAACCAACCACCAAUGGAGUGAACACCACUGAGACAACUGUUUUCCCCUCCCCACUGAAUACCUCAAACUUUCUCUUAGGUUUGAGAGGCUCUCCAGAAAAGAUUUAGGAUGUGUGAGAUAUAGAGAUUAGGAGAUAGGAGGAAAUCCUUUUGCCUGACUGUGAGUCAAUGUAUAUAUCUUUGGAUACAUCAUAUGGAAAGAUAGUAUAUCUUCUUUAGGUUUCUAUUAGCAGACCUAAAUUAUUGAUCUAGUAGAGAACCCUUCUUAUUUAAAUGAAACUCUACAGAAAGAAAAACAAAUGUUUAUCAAAGGGGUUUCUUCAUAAAUAUUUUGAAAAUGAAGUAAGCAGAUCACAGCACAAUGCCACUUGCGAAUGUGGUGAUGCUGCAUUCAGUGAAACAGCUGUUUGCUAAAAUAAAGUACCCUGUUUGAUGAAUUGGAGAAGCUUCUUGUGACAUGUAAAUCCAGUGUGAAUCAAAUAGCUCUAGACUACAGCUCUCAGAAUCCUUCACCAUUGGCUAUACUGGCUAGGGCUAUUGCAAUCAACAACACCUGGAGACCUGGCUGAUUCCCACUCCUGCCUUGGAGGAAAAUGCAUGGCCUAGAACUGCCCUUUCAUUGAUUUACCAAAGCAUUUUCGGAAUACUUGAAAUGAUUUUCUUUUCAAAAAGUUAGUACAUGGGCCAGUCAUCAAAAAUCCUUGCAAGAGACUCAUAACUAAGUAGGUGGUGUUGCUGAAAACAAUAUUUCUUGUAUGACUUCUAAAUAAAAGGAAAAAGUAAUAUAGUCUUUCUCUCCCUCUCUCUCAAAUUUAUUUAUAAAAAGAUCACAUACCAUAUAUGCUUUUCAGUGCUAUGGAUUUCCUAGAAAAUUUUAACAAGACAUUUUGUAAUGAGCCAAAUUGAUUGAUAUCUAGUUUGGCAUGUUGUAUUUGAAUUCAUUAAAUGAAAUUAAGAUCACAGUUUGUGUUAGUUUUUAAUAAUACAUUAAGUUUGCAACAUUGAUUUUCCCCAGAUGCCACUACAUAACUUGAUUGAUUGAUCACUACAUACAGUAACUGAAAUAUUUGAUUUUCAUAAAAAUUACUAAUAAAAUGCAUGGGAUUAUAUUCUAAACACAUUUAUAAGAAAGUUUGAUUGAAGACAGUGGAAUGUGUUUUUCAGUAAACAUCCAUAUUGCAAGUUAUUGUGAUUUAAAUUUUAUCUUAAGACAAAUGCAGAGCUUUGUUUGGAAUACUGGAACAUUUCAAGAUACAGCAUUAGAACAGCACAUUUCCCCAUUAUAUUGUUGAAACCAGGGGGAGAUAAUCUCUGGAGGUGGUAGCUGUAAAUCUUCCUUGCCCUCACCAUAGAUAAUACAGAGUACCUUCCAAUUUCAAUUUAAUUUAAGAGGGACAAGAGUUCAUUUUCCUUAAAUACAUAACACCAUCAGGGUUGAACUGUUGCAGUUGGGGGGAGGGAGAGAAAAUUAAACAGACAUAUACGUUACCCAGGUCUUGUUUACAUGUACGUGUCUUUUUCAGAUAAUAGCACUGAAGUCAGAUAAGUAUGGAGUGAAAUUCUAUACAUUCAGAAGAAUGUCCCACUCAGCUCAUUGGUGCUUGUUCCAAUUAGGCUUACAGACUAAUCCUAAGGUACUGAAAAAGAUGUGCAU